CCUACGGGUGGCAGCAGUGAGGAAUAUUGGUCACUGGGCGCGAGCCUGAACCAGCCAAGUAGCGUGAAGGAUGACUGCCCUAUGGGUUGUAAACUUCUUUUAUAAAGGAAUAAAGUGAGGCACGUGUGCCUUUUUGUAUGUACUUUAUGAAUAAGGAUCGGCUAACUCCGUGCCAGCAGCCGCGGUAAUACGUAGGUGGCGAGCGUUGUCCGGAGUUACUGGGUGUAAAGGGUGCGCAGGCGGGAAGCCAAGUCAGCUGUGAAACUUACGGGCUUAACCUGUAGACUGCAGUUGAAAAUGGUUGUCUUGAGUGAAGUAGAGGUUGGCGGAAUGCCGGGUGUAGCGGUGAAAUGCGUAGAUAUGCGGAGGAACACCGGUGGCGAAGGCGGCCAACUAGGCUUUAACUGACGCUGAGGCACGAAAGUGUGGGGAGCAAACAGGAUUAGAUACCCUGGUAGUC
rnacentral:rRNA from 1 species